AUGGACGAGGCGUGGGAGAGGGCGGUGGAGGCGGCGCUCCACACCGCCGGCGAGGGGAGCUCGUCGCCGGCGAGGAGCCUGACCCUCGACGGCGCCGUCAAGUGCAUGCACGGGCGCUUGCCGGCGCCGGAGAUACUGGAGCGCCACCAGAGCCUGGAGCACCUCUCGAUCGCCGGCGUCGGGGUCGCGUCGCUCGCGGGGUUCCCCCGCCUGCGGAACCUCACGCGCCUGACGCUCUCCGACAACCGCAUCGCCGGCGGCCUCGAGCACCUCGUCGAGGCGGGGCUCGGGUCGCUGCGCGACCUCGACCUCAGCAACAAUCGCAUCCAAGAUGUGGACGACCUCGCGCCGCUCGCCCGCCUCCGCCUCGUCUCGCUCGACCUCUACGAGUGCCCCGUCACGCGGGUCAAGGACUACAGAUCCAGGGUGUUCGGGUUGAUCCGGACUCUCAAGUACCUCGACAAGAUGGACGCCGACGAGAACGAGCGCCCGGAGUCGGACGACGACGACGACGACGGGGACGGCGAAGGUGAUGGCGAGGAAGAAGAUGAUGAUGACGACGACGAUGACGAGGAUCCUGGAAGCGGCGAGGUGGCAAACGGGGGCGCCUCGCACUCGCGAGGUAGCGUCGCACCGCGCCCGGUGGAGGUGAAUGGGGUGAUCGAUGUGGAUGAGGAUGAGAGCGAGGCCGACGAGGUCGUGCCCAAUGGGGGAGCCGAGCACCACCACAGGGCCAACGGGUUCAGGGUUGCAGCGGUUGGGGUAGCCCCUGAUGAGGAUGAUGAAGACGUGGAGGAUGACGACGACGAUGCAGACGAAGAGUAUGAGGAGGAGGAGGAUUUGGGAGAGGAGAUCGAUGAGGAGGGUGAUGAAGAUGACACUGUUGUCGAGGUACUUGACGUGCCCAGUAGUGAUGAUGAGGAGGAUGGCAUCGAUGAGGAUGAUGAUGAUGAGGAGGAGGUUGAGGAUGAUGGUGAUGGUGAGGAGGCUGAGCCAGAGAGUAGUGGGAGGGUUGCUAUGGCGGUGGGGGGCGUUGGAGAAGAGAUCGAUGGACAUGAGCAAGGUGAAGGUGAUGAUGAGGAUGAGAAUGGUGAGAUUGGAGAGGAAGACGAGGAAAGAUUGGAGGAUAGUAGGGUUUAUGAGGAGGACAACGAUGAUGACGAUGCUGAUGAUGAGGAUGAAGACACAGAAUAUCUUGUUCAACCAAUUGUGACGCCCCAAGCCAUGGCUGUUGGAAGUCCAGGGGACUUUGAUAUCGCUGACCCGGAUGAUGUCGAUGAAGACAGAGAUGAGGUCGAUGAUGAUGACGACGAGGGUGGCAAAGACCAGCCGUCGUCCUCGCAGGGUAUCAAGCGGAAGAGGGAUGAUGACCCAUCAGGCAGCGGCAGCGACGAUGAGGAUGAUGAUACUGAUGACCGGCCGUUCAAGCACCAGUGA
rnacentral:rRNA from 1 species